CCGUUUCAGUCAACGAAAUCAUUAGCUUUCUACUAUGGUGCUUCGUCGAUGCAAUGGAGCGUCAUGCUUGGACAACUCCAACAUGAUUUGGGUACUUACAUUGAUUCCAUUUCAAACUCCAACUCGCUCCAAAUCGACAUAAGAUAAGUAACUUUAUCUCACUACACACUCUUUCAAUUAGAGCUAUUGCCAUGCUUUGUCAUGCUUAUAAAUAACUUUUAGAGCAUGCUUAUAACACAUGUUAUAUAUUUUUUUAGUAGCACACCUACUAUGCACACAUCCUAGUGCCAUGCUUUAAAUGUCUCCAUAAUCCUUAAGCAUGCUUACAAAAGGCAAAAAUAUUAUUAGCAACUUUACUACAAGUACAUGCUACACAUGUCAUGCUCUAUUUAAAUGCAAUCUAAUUAAAUAAACAUGUGACACUCACUUAAACAAACUAUGUCAUGUCUAGAAGCUUGUGACACUUGUGACUUAAUUAAACAUGCUCGGAUAACGAUUUUCUCGGGUUACGACUCGCUUGGGUGUCGAGCAUGGCCACGACUUGCUGGGGCCACGCCCCUCAUGCUCGCACAGCGCCUACCCGCUCAACUACACCCAACUUGCUCGAAUACAACCUAGCUCGCUCAAACAUAUCUAACAUGCUUUAGUUAAGUCCUAAUAGUUCACUACGCUUCAUACUAUUCACGGGGAACUUACCCUCAAAUUUUAUAUGGACACCCAUUACACUUGCCACUAUCUAAUAUACAUGUUACAUGGUCAUAAAGAUCCACAUAAUAUUACUUGCUAUGUUUAUUUCACUACAACAAAUUCUGGCAUUAGUGACCAAAUUGUCAGUGACCACAUCAAUGUUGGUCACAAAUAGUAUUGAAUUAGUGACCACUAUUAGCAGCUGGUAACUAACACUUUUAAUGACCAAAAGUUUCAGUAUUAGUGACCAUUUACGUUGGGUCAGUAAUGUUUCAAGACUUUAUAAUACGUGGGUUUUGGUUUAGUGACCAAAACUUUUCGGCUGAUUGGAGGGAAUUUUUCUCUUUGAUUUAUGUAGGCGGUAAGGCGGGUUGGUUUCAAAAUUAAAAGUCAAAUUCUUUUAUGAGCGCGGCAUUCAAAAACGAAGUCUUACAUAAUUUAUACCCAAACUGACAGAUAUAAUCCCGAGUCUUUUUCGAGGCGGUUCUAAUCUUCAUCGUUCUCUUCCCUCACUCCUCUUCUCUCAAACAGAAUCCUUUUGCUUCAUGGUACUCAUCGCUGAGCUGCUGUGUGGGUUGAAGAAGGGGGGCGUUGUGGAGCUAACCCUGGUCACGGGGAUAGGCUUCGAGAUUGAUCAGAUCGAACCGCCAGAGAAUUAUCCUAUGUUUCUUAUUUUCACAACGGGAUCUGGAAUCAGGUCUCUGAUUGCGUCAGGGUUUAAUGCUGGUAAGGGAUCCGACGUGAAACUCUUCUAUGGGGCCAGAAAUCUUGACAGAAUGGCUUAUCAGCUCUGUAAUAAUGUUGUUCUUGUUCAUUUUCAUGUGUUUUCUAGGGUUAUUCUUUUUUGAUUUGUGAUUAAUUUUGUUUGAUUGAUGUCUGCAAUGUGCGUUUUGCUUUAUUUUGGUUCUAAUUGCAAAGUGGUUUGAACGGGCAUGGAAAUCUUCUAGAGAAACUAAUCUGGAAACCAACUAAAUCUGAGAGCUUUGGUACUUAAAAUUUUUUUAGAUAUUAUUUUAAUUGAGUUUGCAAAUUUUGAAUUGGGGAUUUAAGUUUUGGGUUGAGAAAAAGUUCAUGGUCAGUGAUGUGAAUGAAUUGAGACGCAUGCAUCUUCUAAACUGUUUUUUUGACGGUUCCCUCACAGAUAAUAGGAAGCCGCAGCUUGAAGAAAAUUCUUGAUGCUGUGAUUUCCAAGUACAAGUAUUUGUUAAAGAUACUCUAUCAAGGUGUACAUAUGACAAGUACAAUAUGAUGUUGAAAACAUAAUAUGAUUUAAUUUUUCUUUAGGGGUUUGAUCUGAUGAUUGAUACAAUUUGUUAUAAUUGAAUUCACAGUGGAAUUACUUUUGUAUCUGUGUUUGGUUUAGCUAUGUUUUCCCCUUUGCUACUUGGUGUUUUUAAUUUAAAGGUGGUCAAUUUGGACUUACUGUGUUUAGUGGAGGGCUGCAGAGCGAAUCAAGAAGAGUAGUACAUGGUGGAGAGAUGGGUUCAGCCUUGGCAACAACGGGAUCAAUGUAUAUGAUUGAAGGUGAGAAGGGAGUGAGUCAUGGAAAUAAGGCUAAACUUUUCAUUCACGUAUACUGCUUUGAACUUUUUUGUUUCACUCUUGUCUACAGAUUUCGUAUAUGCAUUUGUUUGUUGAGCAUGAAAAUGUUACAGACAGUACUAUUUGGAGGGAUUGGAGGAAACUUUUAGCGACCCAUUUGUUUAGUCUUAAGUUAAGAGGAGAUUUGGUCUUAAAUUUGAAUCUUUAAAGAACUGGUGGCAGGUGAGACUGAGAGUUUGACCAAGAGUGCAAAGACAUGGUGAGAAAUGACCAACAAAUUCGAUGACUCUAACACGAUUCCUUAUGGUUAUUGAGAUUAGUUUAGUUCGUUUUCCAAAAUUUUUUAAUUUCAAAAUGUAGCAGUCCAUUUGAUUAGGUAGCAAGAAAUAGUAGCUUGGUCUUCGUUUCCAAUAUUCUAAUGUUUUUGAUUGUUAGAUUGGAGUUGCCUUGCAGAGGGCAUUACCAUUAUUUUCAUACAUCCUGGUGCUUUCAAUAUUCAUCACGAAUUAAAUGUGUGCGUACUAAUCAAUAAUUCAAGAUUUGAUAGAUUAGAAGGCAUGUAUGGCCCCAGCUGCAACAAAUUUGUUGGUUGGCAAAAUUGUUGGCAUUCUUGAGAACGAAGCAUCCUUCACUGCCGGGAUUCAUGAUCAAGUUGAUGAGAUUAAGCUGGAUCUGGACAAAAGGCACAGGUGGAAGGCGAGUACACACAUACAUGUAGUGGGAAGUUAGACCCCUUUUUGGCAUGUAAUUCAAUAAUUGUUCUUGGAGUGGAUUUGGAAAAGGUGGCAGAAAUAGCAACAACAUCAUCUGCUUUGAAAGAGGAAGAGCUCAAGCUGCGUUUCAAAAUAGCAGUAAGAAUAGCCUCUUUUUUGACAGGGACAUAUCUCUAGCAUUUCCCAACUUUGUGCUCAAUACAACAGCAGAGGAAUAUCAAUUGCCCAGAACUAGACAUAAUUAAAGCCAGAAGUGUUCUCUGCAUGACUGCAUGCAAGAAGAUAAAGAAUAUUGAGAAUCAUGCGCAGGGAAAAAGUCUGGUGUCCUAUUGAUUGGUUACUUAUCAGCAAUGCCUCUGGACUUUGCCUUCUUCACAAGAGUUCCAAUGAGUAUCUAUCAUAGUUAUAUAUUUGUUUGCAUUGCUUAAAUAGUUAAGAGUUUUGCACAGAUAGGUUCUUUUAUUGUUCUAGACUCUGUUUUUUUGUAUUUCACAAUUUUUGUGAGUAUUCAUUACAAUUUACAUA